rnacentral:rRNA from 1 species
UACGGAGGGAGCGAGCGUUGUCCGAAGUUACUGGGCGUAAAGCGCGCGUAGGCGGGAAAUUAAGUGAGAAGUGAAAGGCUGGGGCUUAACCCCAUGCAGUGCUCCUCAUACUGGUUUUCUUGAGGGUGGUAGAGAGAAGUGGAAUGGCUGGUGUAGCGGUGAAAUGCGUAGAUAUCAGUCGGAACACCAGUGGCGAAGGCGGCGCUCUGGGCCGGUACUGACACUGAGGAGCGAAAGCGUGGGUAGCAAACAGG